CACUGUCCCAGCUGCUCUCUAGCCUGUGGACAAUAUGGAGGAAUACUAACAGAGGAUCUAAGGCUGGAGACUGGCUCUUCUGUUGUCAUGGACUCUGAUGAGGACGACACAUGAGAGGUUCACCAGAGUAGGUCCUGAAACAUGGAAUAGGAAUACAAGAAGGACCCAACUCACAUGAUGUUGCAGACAGAACCUCAGCUGCUGUUGAAGAGAGUGUAGUGCAGGAUUGUGUAGUAUGCUGUACUACAGUGCAGUGUUUUGUGAGUCCAGGUUGUAGCAGACAGCAGCUGUGUGCUCUGGUAGAGCUGCAGCAUCACAACACACAGAGGUUUUUGUACGGCGACUUAACCAGAGUCAAUCACUGUGGUGGACUUUUGGUGGAGGCACCAGACUGGAUGUUGGAAGCAACCGUGCCCCCACCCUGACGGUGCUGCCCCCCUCCAGUGAGGAACUGUCCAGUAAGAGUACGGCCACGCUGAUGUGUCUGGCCAACAAGGGCUUCCCCUCAGACUGGACACUCAGCUGGCAGGUGGACGGGAGCAGCAAGAAGGGCCAGGAGGCCAGCAGGGGGCUCCUGGAGAAGGACGGCCAGUACAGCUGGAGCAGCACCCUGACUCUCACUGCCCAGGAGUGGGCCAAGGUGCUGGAGGUGACCUGUGAGGCCCACCAGAGCUCCCAGCCUACGGUCACUCACACCCUGAAGAGAGAGCAGUGUUCUGAGUAGCCCCAGGCUCACACAGCCCUGUGGAGAGGGGCUGCUUCCUCUGCUGGGACUCUGUUCUGUGCUCAGCCAUUCUCUGUCCUCCUGAUGGCUCACAUGCAGACUAACAGGGAGCUUUGUUAGAGUCCACGUGUCGCUGCUGUUUGUAGACUGAGGUGUUAUCAGUGCUAAAGUUGACGUGUUCUGCUUUUGGUCACUAUUCACUCUGUUAGUUGGCUUUGCUUUGAUGCUGGAAUGUUGUUAUUUUAUUGGACAAUAAAGAUUUCUUGUUGAAC